AAGGAAUAUUGGACAAUGCCCGCAAGGGUGAUCCAGCCAUCCCGCGUGCAGGAAGAAUGCCCUAUGGGUUGUAAACUGCUUUUGUAAGGGAAGAAACCCCCUGAUGCGUUAGGGGUUGACGGUACCUUAAGAAUAAGCACCGGCUAACUCCGUGCCAGCAGCCGCGGUAAUACGGAGGGUGCAAGCGUUAUCCGGAAUCACUGGGUUUAAAGGGUGCGUAGGCGGCUAAAUAAGUCAGAGGUGAAAUGCUACGGCUUAACUGUGGAAUUGCCUUUGAAACUAUAUAGCUAGAAUAGAGUUGAGGUUGGCGGAAUGUGACAUGUAGCGGUGAAAUGCAUAGAUAUGUCAUAGAACAUCGAUUGCGAAGGCAGCUAACUGGGCUUUUAUUGACGCUGAGGCACGAAAGCGUGGGGAUCAAAC
rnacentral:rRNA from 1 species